GUGCUCGCUUUGGCAGCGCAUAUACUAAACUUGGAAAAAUGAAGAGAAGCUUCGCAGGAUCCCUUCUGGGGAUGACACACAAAUUUGUGACGCAUUCCAUUAAAAA
ensembl:snRNA U6 U6 spliceosomal RNA